GUAGGUGGCAAGCGUUGUCCGGAAUUAUUGGGCGUAAAGCGCGCGCAGGCGGUUCUUUAAGUCUGAUGUGAAAGCCCACGGCUCGACCGUGGAGGGUCAUUGGAAACUGGAGAACUUGAGUACAGAAGAGGAAAGCGGAAUUCCACGUGUAGCGGUGAAAUGCGUAGAGAUGUGGAGGAACACCAGUGGCGAAGGCGGCUUUCUGGUCUGUAACUGACGCUGAGGCGCGAAAGCGUGGGGAGCAAACAGGGAUUAGAUACCCUGGUAGUCCACGCCGUAAACGAUGAGUGCUAAGUGUUAGGGGGGUUUCCGCCCCCUUAGUGCUGCAGCUAACGCAUUAAGCACUCCGCCUGGGGAGUACGGCCGCAAGGCUG
rnacentral:rRNA from 1 species